GGAUAGCUCAGUCGGUAGAGCAUGAGACUCUAAAUCUCAGGGUUGUGAGUUCGAAACCCACGUUGGGCA